CGUCUUAUCCCCAAACCAGGAAGAACGCGAGCUUGGGUUUGUACCAUUACCAGAUCGAAUUAGAGAUGGACUCAAAGUCCGAAAUCAACUUGGAGAGGCCAACACAUGCAUGGGUCUCCAACGGAAAGUCUCUGAGUACCCGAAGUUUGAAACUUGGCCAGUUGCUUUUCUCUGUGAAGAACCAGCAUUUUACAGCAAUUUUGGAAAGAGUGGAGCUCUGUGCAUCGCGGAGCCAUCCAAUUCGAAGAUUGACACAUUGUGGGUACGGAACAAGGAGAGCAGCUGCAGUGUCGUAAAUUGUUGAAAUUCCAGAGCCUUGAUUCCGAAGGCUAUUUGGUUGUGGUGGUUGACAGAGGGCAAGGGAUGGUUAUGGCCUUUGGUUUCCUUUGUUGCCAUUUAGCACCAUCGUACUGCAGCAGGUUUGUAUUUGCUUUGCUGUUGCUGAGAGCGAGUUCGGUGAAGCAUCGUAGCUAUGAAAGCUUUGGGAGACGGGGCUCCAGCAUGGUCAUCGGGACGCUGCCCGGCAUGGUCAUCGGGUCGCUGCCCGGCAUGGUCAUCAGAGGCGUUGCUCCGGCAUGGUUUCAUCGGGACGUUGCCCGGCAUGUUGGCUUUGACAUCAUUUGACACCCGAAGGUGCUGUUGUGAGGAGGGCUGCGACAGAAAAGAGAAGGUGGUGGAGAGCUGGUUUCAUCGGGACGCUGCCCGGCAUGUUGGCUUUGACAUCAUUUGACACCCGAAGGUGCUGUUGUGAGGAGGGCUGCGACAGAAAAGAGAAGGUGGUGGAGAGCAAUGGAAUGAGGUCUGAACCUUCUGUCUUCCAAGCUGCUUGCUGCUUUCUCCUUCUUGUAUUUUUUCCACGCUGCUGUGCUCCGUUGCGUCCUCCUGCUGCCUCUUCACGUUGCGGCCCCCCUUUUCUUUCUUUUCAUGUGGUGCUUAUAUACUGCACUAGAGAUGAGUUUGGCUUGUGUACCACGUUGAAAGUUUUAGAGUUCAACUUGAAGUGAAAUGGCUGGACACCUUAUCUCCUUUCUCUUUUGACGUCCAGGUUGAAACUUUUUUGUAACUGCUUGUCUAGAGUUUCAAACAAGCUAGAAGUCAGAUGCAAACCCAAUACAAGUAGCUUAAAAACUCUACAGUUUUUUUUUGUUUAGAGUUUUAUUAGCUAAUUAACUUGUCCGUCCUUUUUCUUAAUUAGAGGCUUUUAAA